GCUAAUGUAGCACAGUCGGUAGUGCGGUUCACUCGUAAUGAACAGGUCGCUGGUUCGAUUCCAGUCAUUAGCUCCA
rnacentral:tRNA from 2 species